rnacentral:lncRNA from 1 species
AAUAUGCUCAGUAACCUUGUGAGAAAGACAUUCUUCUUUCCCUUUUGCAGUUAAACGGAAGCUCAGAGAGGUUUAGUACCGCACCGCGUCCGAAGUCUCCCAGCUGGUAGGCAAUGGACUUGAACACGGGGCUGUUGCUGGCUAUGUAGUACCGCAUUCUUCUGCUUCCAGCAGCAGCAGGGAACGCUAGACCGGAAGCCUCCGCUGGCCUGCUCUGUGGCCUCCGUCCAGACCCCGCUUCCUCCGGGCCCAGCGAGGAUGCCGCUCUCCUGCGGAGCGUCUCCAGGCGCCUAGUCAGACAGCAUUGCGGGUCCCGCGUGUGUCCACCUCCGCCCCGGGGCCCUCUGCGCUCAGCCUGGUGUUCGCGUCACAGCACAGCAUCCCAGGUGAGAACUGCAGGAGGGCCCGCCGCGCCCGUUUGGGCCUCUCAUUCUGCAGACACAUC